UACGGGGGAGCAAGCGUUGUUCGGAUUUACUGGGCGUAAAGGGCGCGUAGGCGGCCACCGCAAGUCGGUUGUGAAAUCUCCGGGCUUAACCCGGAAAGGUCAAUCGAUACUGCGGGCUAGAGUGCAGAAGGGGCAACUGGAAUUCUCGGUGUAGCGGUGAAAUGCGCAGAUAUCAGGAAGAACACCAAUGGCGAAGGCAGCUCUCUGGGACGGUACUGACGCUGAGACGCGAAAGCGUGGGGAGCGAACAGG
rnacentral:rRNA from 1 species